UCAAUCAUCUUCAGUUUUGAAAGACUUAGGAUAACUAAGUUUUUCUUCGUGACUUCACGAAGGGCCUAUAGCUCAGUUGGUUAGAGCACACGCCUGAUAAGCGUGAGGUCGGUGGUUCAAGUCCAUUUAGGCCCACCAGAGUUAUAGGUGUCGUAAGAACACAAAUUCUUUGAAAAUUAGGUAAAUAAUAGUUAUUUUUCCGGAACAUUAAAGG
rnacentral:misc_RNA from 2 species